rnacentral:rRNA from 1 species
AUCCGGAAUCAUUGGGCUUAAAGGGUCCGUAGGCGGUUUUGUAAGUCAGUGGUGAAAGCCCAUCGCUCAACGGUGGAACGGCCAUUGAUACUGCAAGACUUGAAUUACUAGGAAGUAACUAGAAUAUGUAGUGUAGCGGUGAAAUGCUUAGAUAUUACAUGGAAUACCAAUUGCGAAGGCAGGUUACUACUAGUGGAUUGACGCUGAUGGACGAAAGCGUGGGGAGCGAACAGG